GGGUGCGAUCAUACCAGCACUAAAGCACCGGAUCCCAUCAGAACUCCGAAGUUAAGCGUGUUUGGGCGAGAGUAGUACUAGGAUGGGUGACCUCCUGGGAAGUCCUCGUGUUGCACUCCU
rnacentral:rRNA from 1 species